rnacentral:rRNA from 1 species
CUGUGAGCUCGAUGAGUAGGGCGGGACACGUGGUAUCCUGUCUGAAUAUGGGGGGACCAUCCUCCAAGGCUAAAUACUCCUGACUGACCGAUAGUGAACCAGUACCGUGAGGGAAAGGCGAAAAGAACCCCGGCGAGGGGAGUGAAAAAGAACCUGAAACCGUGUACGUACAAGCAGUGGGAGCACGCUUAGGCGUGUGACUGCGUACCUUUUGUAUAAUGGGUCAGCGACUUAUAUUCUGUAGCAAGGUUAACCGAAUAGGGGAGCCGAAGGGAAACCGAGUCUUAACUGGGCGUUAAGUUGCAGGGUAUAGACCCGAAACCCGGUGAUCUAGCCAUGGGCAGGUUGAAGGUUGGGUAACACUAACUGGAGGACCGAACCGACUAAUGUUGAAAAAUUAGCGGAUGACUUGUGGCUGGGGGUGAAAGGCCAAUCAAACCGGGAGAUAGCUGGUUCUCCCCGAAAGCUAUUUAGGUAGCGCCUCGUGAAUUCAUCUCCGGGGGUAGAGCACUGUUUCGGCAAGGGGGUCAUCCCGACUUACCAACCCGAUGCAAACUGCGAAUACCGGAGAAUGUUAUCACGGGAGACACACGGCGGGUGCUAACGUCCGUCGUGAAGAGGGAAACAACCCAGACCGCCAGCUAAGGUCCCAAAGUCAUGGUUAAGUGGGAAACGAUGUGGGAAGGCCCAGACAGCCAGGAUGUUGGCUUAGAAGCAGCCAUCAUUUAAAGAAAGCGUAAUAGCUCACUGGUCGAGUCGGCCUGCGCGGAAGAUGUAACGGGGCUAAACCAUGCACCGAAGCUGCGGCAGCGACGCUUAUGCGUUGUUGGGUAGGGGAGCGUUCUGUAAGCCUGCGAAGGUGUGCUGUGAGGCAUGCUGGAGGUAUCAGAAGUGCGAAUGCUGACAUAAGUAACGAUAAAGCGGGUGAAAAGCCCGCUCGCCGGAAGACCAAGGGUUCCUGUCCAACGUUAAUCGGGGCAGGGUGAGUCGACCCCUAAGGCGAGGCCGAAAGGCGUAGUCGAUGGGAAACAGGUUAAUAUUCCUGUACUUGGUGUUACUGCGAAGGGGGGACGGAGAAGGCUAUGUUGGCCGGGCGACGGUUGUCCCGGUUUAAGCGUGUAGGCUGGUUUUCCAGGCAAAUCCGGAAAAUCAAGGCUGAGGCGUGAUGACGAGGCACUACGGUGCUGAAGCAACAAAUGCCCUGCUUCCAGGAAAAGCCUCUAAGCAUCAGGUAACAUCAAAUCGUACCCCAAACCGACACAGGUGGUCAGGUAGAGAAUACCAAGGCGCUUGAGAGAACUCGGGUGAAGGAACUAGGCAAAAUGGUGCCGUAACUUCGGGAGAAGGCACGCUGAUAUGUAGGUGAAGUCCCUCGCGGAUGGAGCUGAAAUCAGUCGAAGAUACCAGCUGGCUGCAACUGUUUAUUAAAAACACAGCACUGUGCAAACACGAAAGUGGACGUAUACGGUGUGACGCCUGCCCGGUGCCGGAAGGUUAAUUGAUGGGGUCAGCGCAAGCGAAGCUCUUGAUCGAAGCCCCGGUAAACGGCGGCCGUAACUAUAACGGUCCUAAGGUAGCGAAAUUCCUUGUCGGGUAAGUUCCGACCUGCACGAAUGGCGUAAUGAUGGCCAGGCUGUCUCCACCCGAGACUCAGUGAAAUUGAACUCGCUGUGAAGAUGCAGUGUACCCGCGGCAAGACGGAAAGACCCCGUGAACCUUUACUAUAGCUUGACACUGAACAUUGAGCCUUGAUGUGUAGGAUAGGUGGGAGGCUUUGAAGUGUGGACGCCAGUCUGCAUGGAGCCGACCUUGAAAUACCACCCUUUAAUGUUUGAUGUUCUAACGUUGACCCGUAAUCCGGGUUGCGGACAGUGUCUGGUGGGUAGUUUGACUGGGGCGGUCUCCUCCUAAAGAGUAACGGAGGAGCACGAAGGUUGGCUAAUCCUGGUCGGACAUCAGGAGGUUAGUGCAAUGGCAUAAGCCAGCUUGACUGCGAGCGUGACGGCGCGAGCAGGUGCGAAAGCAGGUCAUAGUGAUCCGGUGGUUCUGAAUGGAAGGGCCAUCGCUCAACGGAUAAAAGGUACUCCGGGGAUAACAGGCUGAUACCGCCCAAGAGUUCAUAUCGACGGCGGUGUUUGGCACCUCGAUGUCGGCUCAUCACAUCCUGGGGCUGAAGUAGGUCCCAAGGGUAUGGCUGUUCGCCAUUUAAAGUGGUACGCGAGCUGGGUUUAGAACGUCGUGAGACAGUUCGGUCCCUAUCUGCCGUGGGCGCUGGAGAAUUGAGGGGGGCUGCUCCUAGUACGAGAGGACCGGAGUGGACGCAUCACUGGUGUUCGGGUUGUCAUGCCAAUGGCACUGCCCGGUAGCUAAAUGCGGAAGAGAUAAGUGCUGAAAGCAUCUAAGCACGAAACUUGCCCCGAGAUGAGUUCUCCCUGACUCCUUGAGAGUCCUGAAGGAACGUUGAAGACGACGACGUUGAUAGGCCGGGUGUGUAAGCGCAGCGAUGCGUUGAGCUAACCGGUACUAAUGAACCGUGAGGCUUAACCUUACAACGCCGAAGGUGUUU